UGUGGUUGGAGGUGUAUAAUAACCUGAGGUAUGCUGGUGAGGUGUGCAUAUGUCAGAAACGUGUUUCUAGACAUGAUAGAAGAUUUUUUUUUAGCUGUGCAAAGUUGUGGAAUAAACAGUUUUAUUUGUUUUAAUAGUCCCCAGUAUUUAAUCAUUUAAUUUUCUGAGGUAUGAAGAUUGAUCUGAUUUUGAUAUUUCUAUAAUUAUCUAUUAUUGAAUACUUGUUGUACUUAUUGGAAAAAUAUCUCUUAUAAUACUCUUUUAAAAACACAUUUCAAGUGCAUGUAUACAAACAUAAUCAAUCACAAGAAAGAAGGACUGAUGACACAUGACAUUAAGUGAUAACUUUUCUGAUGACUGUGAAGGUCUUAUUUUUCUAACAUCUGUACAAUAGCUUUCCUAUUUCACCAAUGAUUUUGGGUUCCUGCUGCUGAAAGUCCAUCCGUACAAGGCCGUAAUCAGUGGUUGAAUGGCAGAUGGAGCCCAGGGCAUCCACC
rnacentral:lncRNA from 1 species